rnacentral:rRNA from 1 species
UACGAGGGGGGCAAGCGUUGUUCGGAAUUACUGGGCGUAAAGGGAGCGUAGGUGGUUAGGUAAGCCCUCCGGGAAAUCUUCAGGCUUAACCUGAAAAGGUCGGGGGGGACUGCCUAGCUAGAGGGCGGGAGAGGAGCGCGGAAUUCCCGGUGUAGCGGUGAAAUGCGUAGAGAUCGGGAGGAAGGCCGGUGGCGAAGGCGGCGCUCUGGAACGUUUCUGACACUGAGGCUCGAAAGCGUGGGGAGCAAACAGG